rnacentral:rRNA from 1 species
AUUGAACGCUGGCGGCAGGCCUAACACAUGCACGUCGAGCGAGCGUCGGACGGGUGAGUAAUGUCUGGGAAACUGCCUGAUGGAGGGGGAUAACUCCUGGAAACGGUAGCUAAUACCGCAUACCAUCAGAUGUGCCCAGAUGGGAUUGGCUAGUAGGUUGGGUAACGGCUCACCUAGGCGACGAUCCCUAGCUGGUCUGAGAGGAUGACCAGCCACGCUGGGGCUGAGGCACGGUCCAGACUCCUACGGGAGGCAGCAGUGGGGAAUAUUGCACGAUGGGCGCAAGCCUGAUGCAGCCAUGCCGCGUGUAUGAAGAAGGCCUGCGGGUUGUAAAGUACUUUCAGCGGGGAGGCGUUACCCGCAGAAGAAGCACCUGCUAACUCCGUGCCAGCAGCCGCGGUAAUAC